rnacentral:rRNA from 1 species
AACGAACGCUGGCGGCAUGCCUAACACAUGCAAGUCGAACGAGAUCUUCGGGUCUAGUGGCGCACGGGUGCGUAACGCGUGGGAAUCUGCCCUUUGGUUCGGAAUAACAGUUGGAAACGACUGCUAAUACCGGAUGAUGACGAAAGUCCAAAGAUUUAUCGCCAGAGGGAUGAGCCCGCGUAGGAUUAGCUAGUUGGUGUGGUAAAGGCGCACCAAGGCGACGAUCCUUAGCUGGUCUGAGAGGAUGAUCAGCCACACUGGGACUGAGACACGGCCCAGACUCCUACGGGAGGCAGCAGUGGGGAAUAUUGGACAAUGGGCGAAAGCCUGAUCCAGCAAUGCCGCGUGAGUGAUGAAGGCCUUAGGGUUGUAAAGCUCUUUUACCCGGGAUGAUAAUGACAGUACCGGGAGAAUAAGCUCCGGCUAACUCCGUGCCAGCAGCCGCCGUAA